GACGAACGCUGGCGGCGUGCUUAACACAUGCAAGUCGAACGGAAAGGCCCUGCUUUUGUGGGGUGCUCGAGUGGCGAACGGGUGAGUAACACGUGAGUAACCUGCCCUUGACUUUGGGAUAACUUCAGGAAACUGGGGCUAAUACCGGAUAGGAGCUCCUGCUGCAUGGUGGGGGUUGGAAAGUUUCGGCGGUUGGGGAUGGACUCGCGGCUUAUCAGCUUGUUGGUGGGGUAGUGGCUUACCAAGGCUUUGACGGGUAGCCGGCCUGAGAGGGUGACCGGCCACAUUGGGACUGAGAUACGGCCCAGACUCCUACGGGAGGCAGCAGUGGGGAAUAUUGCACAAUGGGCGGAAGCCUGAUGCAGCAACGCCGCGUGCGGGAUGACGGCCUUCGGGUUGUAAACCGCUUUCGCCUGUGACGAAGCGUGAGUGACGGUAAUGGGUAAAGAAGCACCGGCUAACUACGUGCCAGCAGCCGCGGUGAUACGUAGGGUGCGAGCGUUGUCCGGAUUUAUUGGGCGUAAAGGGCUCGUAGGUGGUUGAUCGCGUCGGAAGUGUAAUCUUGGGGCUUAACCCUGAGCGUGCUUUCGAUACGGGUUGACUUGAGGAAGGUAGGGGAGAAUGGAAUUCCUGGUGGAGCGGUGGAAUGCGCAGAUAUCAGGAGGAACACCAGUGGCGAAGGCGGUUCUCUGGGCCUUUCCUGACGCUGAGGAGCGAAAGCGUGGGGAGCGAACAGGCUUAGAUACCCUGGUAGUCCACGCUGUAAACGGUGGGUACUAGGUGUGGGGUCCAUUCCACGGGUUCCGUGCCGUAGCUAACGCUUUAAGUACCCCGCCUGGGGAGUACGGCCGCAAGGCUAAAACUCAAAGGAAUUGACGGGGCCCCGCACAAGCGGCGGAGCAUGCGGAUUAAUUCGAUGCAACGCGUAGAACCUUACCUGGGUUUGACAUGGAUCGGGAGCGCUCAGAGAUGGGUGUGCCUCUUUUGGGGUCGGUUCACAGGUGGUGCAUGGCUGUCAUCAGCUCGUGUCGUGAGAUGUUGGGUUAAGUCCCGCAACGAGCGCAACCCUUGUUCACUGUUGCCAGCACGUUAUGGUGGGGACUCAGUGGAGACCGCCGGGGUCAACUCGGAGGAAGGUGGGGAUGACGUCAAGUCAUCAUGCCCCUUAUGUCCAGGGCUUCACGCAUGCUACAAUGGCUGGUACAGAGAGUGGCGAGCCUGUGAGGGUGAGCGAAUCUCGGAAAGCCGGUCUCAGUUCGGAUUGGGGUCUGCAACUCGACCUCAUGAAGUCGGAGUCGCUAGUAAUCGCAGAUCAGCAACGCUGCGGUGAAUACGUUCCCGGG
rnacentral:rRNA from 1 species